AGAACGAACGCUGGCGGCAGGCUUAACACAUGCAAGUCGAGCGCCCCGCAAGGGGAGCGGCAGACGGGUGAGUAACGCGUGGGAAUCUACCUAGCUCUUCGGAAUAGCUCCGGGAAACUGGAAUUAAUACCGAGUACGCCCUACGGGGGAAAGAUUUAUCGGAGUUAGAUGAGCCCGCGUUGGAUUAGCUAGUUGGUGGGGUAAUGGCCUACCAAGGCGACGAUCCAUAGCUGGUCUGAGAGGAUGAUCAGCCACACUGGGACUGAGACACGGCCCAGACUCCGUACGGGAGGCAGCAGUGGGGAAUAUUGGACAAGUGGGCGCAAGCCUGAUCCAGCCAUGCCGCGUGAGUGAUGAAGGCCCUAGGGUUGUAAAGCUCUUUCAGGUGGGGAAGAUAAGUGAACGGUACCCAACGAGAAAGAACGCCCCGGACUAACUUCGUACGCC
rnacentral:rRNA from 1 species